rnacentral:lncRNA from 1 species
CAGAAAAAUCUAGGCAACUAGGGUCUCUCUCACAUUCCACUUUCUCUAUAAAAAAAAAUCCCAAAAUUGGCUCUCCAGGACUGGAAGUGGAAGUAUGAGGUAUCCUUUUCUUUUUCCGGUAUUUUUUUUUAAAUUUCUUUAUUUCAUGCAUGGUGGAUUUCUCUUUGGUGAUUAUUGAAUUGCUUAUAUAUUUUCUUGGUAUUUAGGGUGAUCUAAUUUUUCUGGCUUUUCAAGAGCAGCGGCAUGAGGUACACUUUUCUUCUUUUUCUUUUUUUUUUUCUCUUUUUUUUUUCUUCUAAUUUUUAUGUAAUGGAUGCAGGUGGAUUCUCUGAGUAUACCUGGGAUAGUGAGAAAUUGGAGCUCAUCUGGGGCCAGAUCCAUUUGGAUUUUGGUGUCUGAUUGGAGGAAAAGAAAAUAAAAUAAAUUUGGGGUUUGUAUUGAUUUGAUGUUUGGUUUUAUUUAAUUUUUAUUCUUGCAUGUUUGCUUUUUCUGAAUUUUCACUGUUUGUUUUGUUAGUUGAAGAUUACGGUGUUUGAUUGAUUUCAAUGGGGUGAGUUGUUAAUUUGUCCUCUAUUUAUUCAUGUCAUUUUAUGAAUGCUUGCAUAAUCUGCAUCUCAUUUCACUAACUCUCUGGGUGUAUUUUUGAUAAAUUGUCACUGUUUUUUUCUGUUAAUUUUUAAGUCUCUGUGUGUGUUGUUUACCCCAGACUUUGGACAUCAACUUGUUCUGUUUUCUUGGUGGUUUGAUGCGUUUUGUGUUGUGUUUUUCGGUCAAUUGACUCAGUUCAUAUGAUUAAUUCCCAUCGUUUCCAUGCCAUAUUGGUUGAAUUUAUUUUAACUAUAUUUAUUUUUGUUGCAGCCAUAUCUCAUAUAAACAACAAGUAGAAGGUUUACAGGACAUUAACCAAUUAGUUGGGCUAUUAGUUCCUUUACUUUGUGAUGUCCCUGGUGUGAGUAAACAAAUGUUCAUGUACUUUAUAGUUAGGAGGAUUUAACGAGGCCUUUUCUAUGUGCUUUACUUUAUUAUGUUUUGAUAAACGGAGGUUCAACAACAGGUUACUGAAAUGAUCACUUAUAUAUAUAGCCUCCACCACAAAGUAAUUUCCUAAGAAAUGUGUAGUACUUUGUCUUCUGGGUUAGUGUUCUCUAAUUUAGAUUAGACAUUAAGGCUUUGAGCUUGGUAAGAUUUCUUUUCUUGAUGUACCUCAAUUUUUUUAUUCAUUGUUUUUCUUUUUGGAGUUUUCGAUUUACAAAUAAAUUCUACAUUUAAAUUCUCUUUUUGUGAUCCUUCAGAUUUUGUCUUUGUAAUCAGAUGGUUGAUAUCGCAAGACUGAUUUCAUUCUUCUUCACUUUCAAGAAGCACCGGUGUUUAUUGAAGGUAUAUAAUCUGUUUAGACAUUUAGUCUUCAAUGUAUCAAGUAUUUUGUGUUGUUAGUUUUAUGUUACUUUUGUUGCUGCCUGCCUUUUUUUUUCUUUCUAUUUUUUUCGUUUUUAUCCACUUCUCUUUCACAUUUGUGCAACCUAUUGUCCUCAGUUUAUAAUCUUUCGUUGGAUAAUCUGAUCGCCCAAUCUAUUCUCAAGCGAUAUCUUUGGUUUUAAACUGUUCUAACCAGUUUAAUCUUUAAAUUGUUCAAUGUUAACCCCAACAUUUUAUUUUCAUUCUAUACGCAUUGGAACCAAACUUAAUUGGCACUAAAAAUGUAUAAAGCCUUUAACUAUACCAUGAAUGCAAUGUUAGCCAGUAAAUAAUUAUAAAAGUAACUUUGUCAUGGGCUAUAAUCAUAUCCAUCAUCAUUCCAUGAUUGUUACCAACCUUUAAAAUCAAAUUUAGCAUCAGUAUGUUUUACCUCUGUUUCAAUCUUAACCAGUAGCGGCUACAAUUUUGUAUUAAUCACUGUUAUCAAUUGUUCUUAACAUAUGAUCAUCAGAUCCCAAUAUGUUGACCAUCGUUCUCCCUACCUUAUCGUAUGUGAAACGAUUAUAUUUACACUCACUUUUAUUCAUUGGAAACAGUAUUUGUGUCUCUCCAUAUCCAAUCCUUGGUGCAAAAUGUUUACAAUUUGACCUGUUUCAGUUUCCUACAGCCAAAUUGGAAUCAAUCUGAAAGAACUGCGCCUAUUCGCCGUCUUCAAGGUAUAACAUUGAUCACUCUCAACUUUUAAUUUCUUUUUCAACAUUUUUUCCUUUUGCAUUUCUAAAAAAACCUUUAUUCAAUAGAUACUGAUAUGGUCACUUACAGCAUAAAAAAACUUCAUCUUUUUUGUCAAUAUUUAAGUUUUUCUUAUUUUUCUUCAUGAACCAGGUCAGCCCAUAACUCUGUAACCAUCCACGUAUAUAACUUAUCCAUUUUGAUCAUUGUGGUAUCAAUACAAAUUUACUCUUAUUUUUGAGGUGGGAUUGGUCUUAAAACAGAAGAACCAAAAUUUAAUUGAUCCCAUUGUUCUGUACACAAAAAUUCCAUCGACCCAAAAACCUCACAUGGAAAACAAACGUAUUCACCUUUUUUUUUUUUGCUUCUCCUUAGUUUUUACCUAUUUUUUUCAUUUUUGUUUUCACAGUUUCCUUCAUGAUUAGGUUGAGCACACAGUUUUUAAACCUAUUAAACCAUAUUCGUUUUAAGUGUUUUGCUUCAUUAUUUAACAUUCAUUUGGAUUUGUGAUUGAUAUCAACUUGGUGAGGUUUUCAUUACUUGCAAAGCAUGUUUAGAGUAAUGCCUUUAAACUACGUCAAAUUUUCAAUGAAAAAUCUUGAAUGCCUCGACAUUUAUCCAAUGGAUAAAUUCAUUACAUUCUUUUCGGUGAAACACUAAAGGUCCUAUACGCCAGUCUCUUUUAUCAUCCUCAGCAAACUAUUCUUAUCAUUUUGAGCCCAACUUCAGACAGUCUGCAUUUACUAAUGAAACGAUUGUUUGUUGACAGUUUGACCCUAAUACCUCUAGAAAUUAUCUAUGCAUGGACCACUACUGUAACCCGUUCUCAACCGAUGAACUUCAAACGAUGGUGCGUGUCGCGUCAUUUUUCCUUCCUCACUAUUUAUUUAGCUAUUACAUAUCCAAUCGUAUUGAUUCCUACAGAACAAUGUUUACUUUUCCCGCAACCUCUUAACUUUACAAUGUUUUACAAUUUCUUUCCUGCUGCAUUAUAAUAGAAAUGUGAAGAAUAAAGUCAAUUUAAACACCUAAUAUCUAUCUAUGUUCUUCAUUGUCCCAUAAG